rnacentral:rRNA from 1 species
CCUACGGGUGGCAGCAGUGGGGAAUAUUGGACAAUGGGGGCAACCCUGAUCCAGCCAUGCCGCGUGUGUGAAGAAGGCCCUCGGGUUGUAAAGCACUUUCAGUGAGGAAGAACGCCUGGUGGUUAAUACCCAUCAGGAAAGACAUCACUCACAGAAGAAGCACCGGCUAACUCCGUGCCAGCAGCCGCGGUAAUACGGAGGGUGCGAGCGUUAAUCGGAAUUACUGGGCGUAAAGCGCGCGUAGGUGGCUUGAUAAGCCGGUUGUGAAAGCCCCGGGCUCAACCUGGGAACGGCAUCCGGAACUGUCAAGCUAGAGUGCAGGAGAGGAAGGUAGAAUUCCCGGUGUAGCGGUGAAAUGCGUAGAGAUCGGGAGGAAUACAAGUGGCGAAGGCGGCCUUCUGGACUGACACUGACACUGAGGUGCGAAAGCGUGGGUAGCAAACAGGAUUAGAUACCCGAGUAGUC